ensembl:snoRNA small nucleolar RNA SNORD11
GUAGUCUGUGAUGAUGUAAUUCUCUGUUGGCCUGAAUUCUUUUUGGAAUAUGAGGGCAACUUAAGUCACUACCUCUUCUGAGACAC